rnacentral:rRNA from 1 species
UGGGGAAUAUUGGACAAUGGGGGCAACCCUGAUCCAGCCAUGCCGCGUGAGUGAUGAAGGCCUUAGGGUUGUAAAGCUCUUUCGCACGCGACGAUGAUGGCGGUAGCGUGAGAAGAAGCCCCGGCUAACUUCGUGCCAGCAGCCGCGGUAAUACGAAGGGGGCUAGCGUUGUUCGGAAUUACUGGGCGUAAAGGGCGCGUAGGCGGCGCACCAAGUCAGGUGUGAAAGCCCCGGGCUUAACCUGGGAACAGCAUUUGAGGCUGAUGUGCUUGAGGUCCGGAGAGGUGGGUGGAAUUCCCAGUGUAGAGGUGAAAUUCGUAGAUAUUGGGAAGAACACCGGUGGCGAAGGCGGCCCACUGGACGGAACCUGACGCUGAGGCGCGAAAGCGUGGGGAGCAAACAGGAUUAGAUACCCUGGUAGUCCACGCCGUAAAACGAUGUCGGCUAGACGUUGGGGCUCUUAGAGCUUUAGUGUCGCAGCUAACGCAUUAAGCCGACCGCCUGGGGGAGUACGGCCGC